rnacentral:rRNA from 1 species
GACGAACGCUGGCGGCGUGCUUAACACAUGCAAGUCGAACGGAAAGGCCCUGCUUUUGUGGGGUGCUCGAGUGGCGAACGGGUGAGUAACACGUGAGUAACCUGCCCUUGACUUUGGGAUAACUUCAGGAAACUGGGGCUAAUACCGGAUAGGAGCUCCUGCUGCAUGGUGGGGGUUGGAAAGUUUCUGCGGUUGGGGAUGGACUCGCGGCUUAUCAGCUUGUUGGUGGGGUAGUGGCUUACCAAGGCUUUGACGGGUAGCCGGCCUGAGAGGGUGACCGGCCACAUUGGGACUGAGAUACGGCCCAGACUCCUACGGGAGGCAGCAGUGGGGAAUAUUGCACAAUGGGCGGAAGCCUGAUGCAGCAACGCCGCGUGAGGGAUGACGGCCUUCGGGUUGUAAACCGCUUUCGCCUGUGACGAAGCGUGAGUGACGGUAAUGGGUAAAGAAGCACCGGCUAACUACGUG